GCCGGUGUAGCUCAGUUGGUAGAGCGGCGCAUUCGUAAUGCGUAGGUCGGGGGUUCGAGUCCCUUCUCCGGCACCA
rnacentral:tRNA from 2 species